CCUACGGGAGACAGCAGUGGGGAAUAUUGCACAAUGGGGGAAACCCUGAUGCAGCAACGCCGCGUGGGUGAAGGAGCGUUUCGGCGCGUAAAGCCCUGUCAGCGGGGAAGAAGAUGACGGUACCCAAAGAGGAAGCUCCGGCAAACUACGUGCCAGCAGCCGCGGUAAUACGUAGGGAGCGAGCGUUGUCCGGAGGUACUGGGUGUAAAGGGAGCGUAGGCGGGGAUGCAAGUUGGAUGUUUAAACUAUCGGCUCAACCGGUAAUUGCAACCAAAACUGCAACUCUUGAGUGAAGUAGAGGCAGGCGGAAUGCCUAGUGUAGCGGUGAAAUGCGUAGAUAUUAGGAGGAACACCAGUGGCGAAGGCGGCCUGCUGGGCUUUAACUGACGCUGAGGCUCGAAAGCGUGGGGAGCAAACAGGAUUAGAUACCCCUGUAGUC
rnacentral:rRNA from 1 species